rnacentral:lncRNA from 1 species
AUGAACGUGCUCUCUCUCGCUCUCCUGAAUCCAUGCGAUCCGACCGGCAGAACAAGAAGUCUAGCCUUGCUUUGCUGCCUUUGCUCGUCCCUGGGGUGUCCGUGCUCGGCUCGGCUCUCCCAGCUGCUCGGAGCUGGCUCCAGCGCCCUGGCUUUGAGCAUGCAGAGUGCAAGGAACAGGCAAGGCCAGAAGAGACAGGAUGGCUCGCUCUGUCCUCCGCUCCGCAGGCCUCAGGUGGACUUGUUUCCUACUGAUCCCUUUGAGCCUGCCUUGCCCAGGACUGUGUGCCUUUAUCCUACUGGCCAAAGCUGCUCCAUAGAGCGGGUGAAAAGGCUUCCUUGGGGAUCGGUGUCCCUCCUUUCUCCCAGACUACGAUGACUGACCGCCUGCUGCUCUCCCUUCCCAGGAGGGCGCCUUCUGGGACUAGCACCCAUCCGGCUCUCGGAUUUGGCAGUAGUGAGCGGAGAUUCUUUUAGGGUCCCGGAAAAGAUCCAGAAAUGUGGCCGCGUGGGUAGAGCUGUCCCUCUGCAAGUCAGCUGGCGGCUUGGGCUUGGCUUUUCUCAUCUUCAGGCCAGCUCAAUCCGCCGAGCCUUUGGCUCCCGGCCUUCGUCUGCCCGGGGAGCAGGAAAGUUGGAGACGGAACAUACCGUCAGCUCCAUCAGGCAUAACAGAAGGCAACAAGCAAUUCUGGAGCCGAGCCUCAGCCAAACCGUCUGACUCUCCCCCACCUACACUUACACUCCCUUGGCAAGACUCUCCAUCCAAAGGCGCCACCUGUCUUGCUCCAGAACCGCUCUCUUUGCUUUACAGACAAGAGAGAUCUCUGUGCCUCGGGACAACUUUUAACCAGGCGUUGGGCCUUGAGUGUUCGUUUGUGAGAUGAAAACAGCCCGGGUGGAGGCUCUGGAAGGCCCUUUCUCAACCCUGGCAUUGCGUGGUUCUCCCUGGCGGGGCUCUGGACAAAGCACAACGCUCAUUCGUGCUAAAAACCCCAGAAAGCGUAGGAAUAAGACGGUACGUCGUGUUCAUUAAAACCAGCAGCAAGUAUCCGAUCUGCAAUGGGGACAAGUUAGAAGCCUUCCCACUAAGAUCAGGAGAGAAGCAAGGAUGGAAGAUGGUAUUAGAAAUGCUAAUGGUAGCAAUUAGAGAAGAAAAAGAAAUGGAAGGGGAUUCAGCAGGCCAGGAGGACACAGAACUCUCACUCUUGGCAGAUGACAUGUUGGUGUCACUAAAAGACCCACUAAAAAACUUCGUUGAAAUAAUAGCUUUAGCAAAGUUGAAGGAUGCAAAAUAAACCCACAAAAAUCAUCA